rnacentral:tRNA from 1 species
GCACUCGUGGCGAAAUGGCAGACGCGCACGCUUGAGGUGCGUGUGGGGUAACCCAUGGGAGUUCGAGUCUCCCCGAGUGCA